GUUAGUUUGUUGGGAUUUGGGGAAAAUUCCUAGUUGGAAUCUGUACUAUCAAUGUGAUUGGCAGGAGGAAAAUAUGGCUGUAAGCGGGAAGAAGAACGGGGAAUUUAUCACAGGCAGUGAUGUUUCUGAAAUGAAAUACACAAACAAGGUGGUGGAAGAAACUUUGAGACUCACAAACAUUUCACCCUUCCUUUUUCGCUCAGGUGACGGAAGAAGUUGAAUUUCAAGGUUUCAUAAUCCCAAAAGGCUGGAAAUUGUUAUUGUGGUUUCGAUACAAUCACAGUAAUUCAGAAUACUUCAUGGAUCCAUUGUGCUUCAAUCCAGAUAGAUGGAAUAAACCGGCAAAACCUGGUACAUUCCAAGUUUUUGGUGGGGGUUCAAGGAGUUGUGCUGGAAAUAUGCUCUCUCGGACUGAACUUGCAAUCUUUCUGCACCAUUUGGUUGUCGGCUACAAGUGGGAACUAAUAAAUCCAGAUGCCAAGAUUGAUUAUCUUCCUCACCCUAAACCAAUUGAUCGGGUUAAGAUUGCCUUUAGCAAAAUUUAGAACUACUUCAUCAUUGUUUUGGUUCCAUGAAUUUGUAGGCCUUAUGAGCCAAUCUGCUUUGUAUCCUGUAUGACAGUUCAACAGUGGUGUGCUAAUUUGUAUGGAAAACACUGGUGCAAUAAAGGCCUCAUGAGCCACGUUUGUAUGGCUAGUGUUUUUACACCUUUAAAAUAUUCUCAAGACCUUGCUGCUGAGAACUAUAUGAUGCCUAGGCCCUGCUGCUUAUAAUCUGCAUUUUUUACACCUUUAAAAUAUUCUGUAAAUGACAUUUGAUGUAGAAUUUUUUGUACAGAGGACAUCUUUUUUGUAUGAUUUUGUGUUUGUAUGGAAUUAUUAUUUUGGGUUGGAUUGUA